UGUACAUUGUCAUGGAUGGAAGGUGGGACUUUGCUGAGUCAAACAUGAAGCAAAUACGGCGAUGGUGGUGCCUGGUUCUUUUGAAGAACUUCCCCAUGCCAGGAGCUUUCAGGAAGCAGGAAGAGAAGACGGGAGGUAAAAAAGCUAUUGGCAGGUACGUGUCAUAUACUGUAAUGUGUGAUGUUGUCUUAGAGCAAUUGUGAAAGACUAUAGUCUUACCACCCUCCCACCACUAAUACAUUUCAGGAUAAAGAUAUCUGCACAAAAAGGGCUAGAGUUGCUCCAACAGCAUCCAGCUCUGAAGGAUCAGACAAAACUGAAGACCAGGAACUGGAACCUGGGAACCUGGUAUGUAAUAUGUGUGUAAUGCUGGAGGUUGUAUGUAUAGCCAGAUGAAAUAGUUCUGAUGACUAGUUGAAUAGUGUUUUUUAUCACUGAAAACUCAUCAGUAGUAGUAGCCUUUGUUUGCAUACCAUGUUGUGGUUUUGGGAGAGUAGGGUGUCAAGUACAGACACGAAUAAUUUUUACUUUUUCUUCAAGGAAGAGGAUGUUGUCCUGAAGGACACGAUUCAGGCAGCAGCAUGGUGCCACGUACAGUCCUUCAAGGACAGCGUCUCUCUCCCAGAGGUCAUUGGGAUGGAAGGUUGGGAGCAGAGGGCAGCAUCAGUACAGCGCAAAUCCCAUGACGGCGGGGAUGAGGAAGAAGCAUGGCAACCAUUCCGAUUCUCAUUCCAAUUACAAACUGACUAUGAACUCUUCUGUGUGGAGAUGAUGGACAGGAGAAACCUGAAGGUGUUUGCCUCUUUCGAGUCAAACACCUCUCCCCCUCCCCCCUCCCCGUGACGCCUGCGCCACACGACUCCAGUAGUCUGAUGAUGCAGCAUAAUGGUGGCGCUUGGCAGCUAUGGCGGCGGUGACGGCGAUGUCGGGCGACGAAGCGAGAGUGGCGUCCACCUCACUGAGGAAGGCGUCAGUGUGUUCCCCCCCCGUUGAGACUUUGUU
ensembl:lncRNA